CAAGUCGAACGAGAAAGUCCGCAAGGAUGAGUACAGUGGCGACCGGGUGAGUAACACGUGACUAACCUACCUCUUAGUGGGGAAUAACUCCGGGAAACCGGAGCUAAUACCGCAUAACAUCGCAAGAUCAAAGCCGAAAGGCGCUGGGAGAGGGGGUCGCGGCUGAUUAGCUAGUUGGUAGGGUAACGGCCUACCAAGGCAAAGAUCGGUAUCCGGCCUGAGAGGGCGCACGGACACACUGGAACUGAAACACGGUCCAGACUCCUACGGGAGGCAGCAGUGGGGAAUUUUGCGCAAUGGGGGAAACCCUGACGCAGCAACGCCGCGUGGAGGAUGAAGUCCCUUGGGAUGUAAACUCCUUUCGACCCGGACGAUACUGACGGUACGGGUGGAAGAAGCACCGGCUAACUCUGUGCCAGCAGCCGCGGUAAUACAGAGGGUGCGAGCGUUGUUCGGAAUUAUUGGGCGUAAAGGGCGCGUAGGCGGUGCGGUAAGUCACCUGUGAAAUCUCCUGGCUCAACUGGGAGCUUGCAGGCGAAACUGCCGUGCUGGAGUGUGGGAGAGGUGCGUGGAAUUCCUGGUGUAGCGGUGAAAUGCGUAGAUAUCAGGAGGAACACCUGUGGCGAAAGCGGCGCACUGGACCACAACUGACGCUGAGGCGCGAAAGCUAGGGGAGCAAACAGGAUUAGAUACCCUGGUAGUCCUAGCCCUAAACUAUGGAUGCUUGGUGUGAUCGGUACCCAAUCCGAUCGUGCCGAAGCUAACGCGAUAAGCAUCCCGCCUGGGGAGUACGGUCGCAAGGCUGAAACUCAAAGGAUUGACGGGGGCCCGCACAAGCGGUGA
rnacentral:rRNA from 1 species